UGGGGAAUAUUGCACAAUGGGCGCAAGCCUGAUGCAGCCAUGCCGCGUGUAUGAAGAAGGCCUUCGGGUUGUAAAGUACUUUCAGCGGGGAGGAAGGGAGUAAAGUUAAUACCUUUUCUCAUUGACGUUACCCGCAGAAGAAGCACCGGCUAACUCCGUGCCAGCAGCCUCGGUAAUACGGAGGGUGCAAGCGUUAAUCGGAAUUACUGGGCGUAAAGCGCACGCAGGCGGUAUGCUAAGUCAGAUGUGAAAUCCCCGGGCUCAACCUGGGAACUGCAUCUGCUACUGGCAAGCUUGAGUCUAGUAGAGGGGGGUAGAAUUACAGGUGUAGCGGUGAAAUGCGUAGAGAUCUGGAGGCAUACCGGUGGCGAAGGCGGACCCCUGGACGAAGACUGACGCUCAGGUGCGAAAGCGUGGGGAGCAAACAGG
rnacentral:rRNA from 1 species